CUAACAAGGAUUCCCCUAGUAACGGCGAGUGAAGCGGGAAGAGCUCAAAUUUGUAAUCUGGCGGUCUACGGCCGUCCGAGUUGUAAUCUGGAGAAGCGUUUUCGGUGCCGGUCCGCGUACAAGUCCCCUGGAACGGGGCGUCGCAGAGGGUGAGAAUCCCGUCUUUGACGCGGUACGCCGGUGCCAUGUGAUGCGCUCUCGAAGAGUCGAGUUGUUUGGGAAUGCAGCUCAAAACGGGUGGUAAAUUCCAUCUAAAGCUAAAUACUGGCGAAAGACCGAUAGCGAACAAGUACCGUGAGGGAAAGAUGAAAAGCACUUUGGAAAGAGAGUCAAACAGUACGUGAAAUUGUUGAAAGGGAAACGCUUGAAGUCAGUCGCGUCUCUCGGGACUCAGCCGAGACUUACCUCUCGGUGCAUUUCCCGAGUCUGGACGGGCCAGCAUCGGUUUCGACCGUCGUAAAAAGGUGUGAGGAAUGUGGCACCCUCGGGUGUGUUAUAGCCUCUCGUCGUAUGCGACGGACGGGACCGAGGAACGCAGCGCGCCCCUCUAGGGGCCGGGGUUCGCCCACGUAACGCGCUUAGGAUGCUGGCGUAAUGGCUUUAAGCGACCCGUCUU
rnacentral:rRNA from 1 species